GAUGAACGCUGGCGGCGUGCCUAAUACAUGCAAGUCGAGCGAACGGACGAGAAGCUUGCUUCUCUGAUGUUAGCGGCGGACGGGUGAGUAACACGUGGAUAACCUACCUAUAAGACUUGGAUAACUUCGGGAAACCGGAGCUAAUACCGGGUAAUAUUUUGAACCGCAUGGUUCAAAAGUGAAAGACGGUCUUGCUGUCACUUAUAGAUGGAUCCGCGCUGCAUUAGCUAGUUGGUAAGGUAACGGCUUACCAAGGCAACGAAGCAUAGCCGACCUGAGAGGGUGAUCGGCCAGACUGGAACUGAGACACGGUCCAGACUCCUACGGGAGGAAGCAGUAGGGAAUCUUCCGCAAUGGGCGAAAGCCUGACGGAGCAACGCCGCGUGAGUGAUGAAGGUCUUCGGAUCGUAAAACUCUGUUAGUAGGGAAGAACAUAUGUGUAAGUAACUGUGCACAUCUUGACGGUACCUAAUCAGAAAGCCACGGCUAACUACGUG
rnacentral:rRNA from 1 species